rfam:[Eubacterium rectale] ATCC 33656 chromosome, complete genome.
UUAGAAACGUGCGCCGCUAGGCGCACAACGCAGAAAUGCCCCGGCAUGGACGUCGGGGCAAGGAGAAACCGCGCCAUGGACGGCGCGUUUCGACGGUUUCGUCAAGCAUAGAAAACCUAAAAAGCAUAAUUCGUACAGUAUCUU